UACGUAGGGUGCGAGCGUUGUCCGGAAUUACUGGGCGUAAAGAGCUCGUAGGUGGUUUGUCGCGUUGUUCGUGAAAACCGGGGGCUUAACCCUCGGCGUGCGGGCGAUACGGGGCAGACUUGAGUACUGCAGGGGGAGACUGGAAUUCCUGGUGUAGCGGUGGAAUGCGCAGAUAUCAGGAAGAACACCCGUGGCGAAGGCGGUUCUCUGGGACGGUACUGACGCUGAGACGCGAAAGCGUGGGGGAGCGAACAGGAUU
rnacentral:rRNA from 1 species